AGUACCAAUUAUUAAUACGAGUAGAUAGUGAUAAGUCGGAAUGGUCGCUUACUGUUGACAGUGGUAUCGUUGGGGCAUAUAACUAAACUUGGAUAUUUAUUAUAGAAAUGGCCUGUCCAUUCUGUAUUAUCUACGAACUAAGUUCAUAACAAAGUGCUAUAGUAUCGCAGUUACUGUCAUGAUGCAAUGAAGUUACAAAUAAUGUCUAUAGGGUCUUUUUAAAUGAACCAUUUUAUCUAUGGCUAGUAUAAUCUGUUCGGAUUUUACUGCGUCAGCGUCUGUAGCACUCAUUUUGAUGUAUAGGUAACAAAAUGGGUAGCGAAAAGAAACGCAUCGAGAUUUAAAUUGUUUCGUUAAAAUAUUAUAAUUCUUGAAUUUUAAGAUACUAUAUGAACAUGCAAGUAUAAUAUAGAUUCGAGAUUUUCCAAGAGAGAAUGAACUACUGAACUAUAUAAUAUUUUAAUCAAAUAAUAUUUAAUCGCAACUACAAAAUAUUUUUUUAAAUUCCAUGUAAUAACGUAUUUUAUAUUAUUCAAUACAUAAUGCGGGAAAAUGGAGUGUGGGCGUUAAAAAGUUAAAAGGACUUAUUUAUAACCUCUGAUUUUUAUUACUUAA